UACGUAGGGUGCAAGCGUUGUCCGGAAUUAUUGGGCGUAAAGCGCGUGUAGGCGGCUUUGCAAGUCGGGUGUGAAAGCCCUCGGCUCAACCGAGGAAGUGCGCCCGAAACUGCAGAGCUUGAGUACCGGAGAGGAUGGCGGAAUUCCCCAAGUAGAGGUGAAAUUCGUAGAUAUGGGGAGGAACACCGGUGGCGAAGGCGGCCAUCUGGACAGACACUGACGCUGAUACGCGAAAGCGCGGGGAUCAAACAGG
rnacentral:rRNA from 1 species